rnacentral:rRNA from 1 species
UACGGGGGGAGCAAGCGUUGUUCGGAUUUACUGGGCGUAAAGGGCUCGUAGGCGGCCAACUAAGUCGGACGUGAAAUCCCUCAGCUUAACUGGGGAACUGCGUCCGAUACUGGAUGGCUUGGAUUUGGGAGAGGGAUGCGGAAUUCCAGGUGUUGCGGUGAAAUGCGUAGAUAUCUGGAGGAACACCGGUGGCGAAGGCGGCAUCCUGGACCAACAUUGACGCUGAGGAGCGAAAGCUAGGGGAGCAAACGGG